GGUCCAGAGUGACAGGAGAGCUCCUAGGGAGCUGAUGUCUUUUGGAUGUGGGCAGAUGGCAGGAAUUGAAGAAAGAAGAAUUUAAACGCUGGUUGAUCCAGAGCUCAGAGACCUGGCAUUGCCACGAAGGAAGGCACGGCACAAUCAGAAGUAAGUACCAGCUCAAGAUUAUUUGGGGGGGGGGGGUUUACAAGAGUGGUAAGGGAAUGGGAUGCUUUAGAUUUCUAUAUAGGCUUGCAUGAUUGAGUGGUUUUGGUCACAUUUGACUGGUAGUGCAGAGUAGAACAGUUCUGAUACCUGGGGAGUUACCCAGACCAAGGGAGACCAGUUGUAAUGUCAGAGACCUGCAGUACCACAGACCAACAGCAGAGGGAGGAAAAAAUUAUAUACUACUUGAAAAAAA
rnacentral:lncRNA from 1 species